rnacentral:lncRNA from 1 species
CGCUUCCCCGCUGACGGGCGGGGCGGCAGCGCGGGCGGCGGGCACCAUGCUGCAGUUCUUGCUUGGUUUUACGCUUGGCAACGUGGUUGGGAUGUAUCUGGCUCAGAACUAUGAUAUUCCUAACAUUGCAAAGAAGCUGGAAGAUUUUAAGAAGGAUGUGGAAGCCAAGAAGAAACCUCCUAAUGACAAGUCCUGAAAGAGCAGCGUUCCCCAGGUCAACUCUGUGUGUGUACCAAGGAUGCAAUUUACCUUUUGGGCAGCAAAGGUCAAGUAGAGGGCUGGCAUGGGAGGUUCCUCCACUCUUAGUCUCCUCGAACUGGAAUAUUUUCCUUUUGAAAGGGUGGCCGUGAACUUUUCCUGGGACUGAUUUUCAAGGGUUUCAGAAUUUGGAUUUAUAACUGAUGCGUGACUGAUGAUAUGAUUUGUAUUUUUCAGUGUUUCUUUUCCUAAUAUUUUGUUACUUGUUUUUACCUGAUCCAACUGGAGUGCUUUUGAUCCUGGUACAAUUGUAAUCUCACACUUGAUAAUACCCUAGCUCCUAGAACAGCACAAAAGAAAUUAAAUGCAUCAAGAAGUAACUUUCAGAGUUUCUUGUCAUUUGUUGUGAGCAGUGGUACUUCACUGUCCUUAAGCCAUACACACAAGCAAAGCAAAAAAAGCAGCCAUUAAAACUCCUGGUGUGUGAGAAAACACACAUCCAUUGUAAAACUCAUGUCUUCUCUUGAAACCAUAAUUCUGCAAAAAUCCUGUUGUAAAUUCUGAAAAAAAAAUUUGCAAUUAUUUGAAUGGAUGUCAAUUUUAUUAAGUCAAGAAUCUAUCAAAUAAUUUUCUUCCCUUAAAAUGGAAGAGGUCUAUCAACUCUAUAACAUGGCUUAAAUGACAGAAGCUUCUUCACAGUUUUUUGCAGGACAUGAAGAACACAGAAAAGUGCCAGGAUUGUGUUCUUGCUCUUAUUGAGAAUGCCUGGUGAUGAACUACAGACAAGCACAGAGAAUGACCCCCAUUUGUUCAGGCUCUAGAUAAAAGCAUGCCUGUAGUGCUUCUCCGUUAAUGUUUUAAUUAGGAUGAGGAUUGUGCCUUAAAAGUGGUUUGUCCUUCUACUAUGUUUUCAUUCUCAUCAUAGGAAAACUGUAGGAGACAUGGUCUGUAUUCCUCUCAGAAAAGACUAAAUCAGAAGAUAUGCUUUGAUCUGAUGGGUGUUUAGUCCAUUAGACAAGUCUAGGGGCACUCAGAAGGAAAAAAAACCCAAGCUCUGGGCACUAAUUGUCUUGCUUUGUCAAUGAAAUGUACUGUUUGAUGUAAACAUAGCUUCAAAGUACAGAACUGUCUAUGUACCCAUUGUAAUUUUCA